UACAGAGGUGGCAAGCGUUGUUCGGAAUUACUGGGCGUAAAGGGCGCGUAGGCGGUUCUGUAAGUCCCGCGUGAAAUCCCCCGGCUCAACUGGGGAACUGCGCGGGAAACUGCGGGGCUUGAGUUCGGGAGAGGGAAGCGGAAUUCCGGGUGUAGCGGUGAAAUGCGUAGAUAUCCGGAGGAACACCGGUGGCGAAGGCGGCUUCCUGGACCGACACUGACGCUGAGGCGCGAAAGCUAGGGGAGCAAACGGGG
rnacentral:rRNA from 1 species